UACGGAGGGUGCGAGCGUUGUCCGGAAUCACUGGGCGUAAAGGGCGCGUAGGCGGCGCGGGGAGUCAACGGUGAAAGCUCGGCGCUCAACGCCGAGUCGGCCGUCGAUACUCCCGUGCUCGAGCACUGUAGAGGCAGGUGGAAUUCCGGGUGUAGCGGUGGAAUGCGUAGAGAUCCGGAAGAACACCGGUGGCGAAGGCGGCCUGCUGGGCAGUAGCUGACGCUGAGGCGCGCGCGUGGGG
rnacentral:rRNA from 1 species